UACGUAGGGAGCAAGCGUUGUUCGGAUUUACUGGGCGUAAAGGGCGCGUAGGCGGCGCGGUAAGUCACUUGUGAAAUCUCUGAGCUUAACUCAGAACGGCCAAGUGAUACUGCAGUGCUAGAGUGCAGAAAGGGCAAUCGGAAUUCUUGGUGUAGCGGUGAAAUGCGUAGAUAUCAGGAGGAACACCGGUGGCGAAGGCGGCUUGCUGGGCCUUACCUGACGCUGGAGGAGCGAAAGCGUGGGGAGCGAACAGG
rnacentral:rRNA from 1 species